rnacentral:tRNA from 1 species
GCUGGAGUAGCUCAAUUGGUAGAGCACCCGCCUUGUAAGCGGAAGGUUGCAGGUUCGAAGCCUGUCUCCAGCA